UACGUAGGGCGCAAGCGUUGUCCGGAAUUAUUGGGCGUAAAGAGCUCGUAGGCGGUUUGUCACGUCGGAUGUGAAAGCCCGGGGCUUAACCCCGGGUCUGCAUUCGAUACGGGCAGACUAGAGUGCGGUAGGGGAGAAUGGAACUCCUGGUGUAGCGGUGGAAUGCGCAGAUAUCGGGAGGAACACCGGUGGCGAAGGCGGUUCUCUGGGCCUGUACUGACGCUGAGGAGCGAAAGCGUGGGGAGCGAACAGG
rnacentral:rRNA from 1 species